rnacentral:snRNA from 1 species
AUACGUAUCUGGCAGGGGAGAUACCAUGAUCACGAAGGUGGUUUUCCCAGGGCAAGGCUUAUCCAUUGCACUCUGGAUGUGCUGACCCCUGCGAUUUCCCCAAAUGUGAGAAACUCAACUGCAUAAUUUGUGGUAGUGGGGGACUGCAUUUGCAGUCUCCCC